GGCCUUGUGGUCUAGUGGUAUGAUUCUCGCUUUGGGUGCGAGAGGCCCCGCGUUCGAGUCGCGGCAGGGCCC
rnacentral:tRNA from 17 species